rnacentral:rRNA from 1 species
GGCGGACGGGUGAGUAAUAUAUAGUUAACCUGCCCUCGAGAAAGGAAUAACAGUUGGAAACGACUGCUAAUGCCCUAUAUGCCUUUAAGACAUAAGUCUGCAAGGGAAAUGCUUUUGUGCUCGAGGAUGGGACUGUACGGUAUCAGAUAGUUGGUGGGGUAAUGGCCUACCAAGUCAAUGACGCCUAACUGGUUUGAGAGGAUGAUCAGUCACACUGGAACUGAGACACGGUCCAGACUCCUACGGGAGGCAGCAGUGGGGAAUAUUGCACAAUGGAGGAAACUCUGAUGCAGCAACGCCGCGUGGAGGAUGACACAUUUCGGUGCGUAAACUCCUUUUAUAUAGGAAGAUAAUGACGGUACUAUAUGAAUAAGCGCCGGCUAACUCCGUGCCAGCAGCCGCGGUAAUACGGAGGGCGCAAGCGUUACUCGGAAUCACUGGGCGUAAAGAGCGUGUAGGCGGAUAGAUAAGUUGGGAGUGAAAUCCUAUGGCUCAACCAUAGAACUGCUUCCAAAACUGUCUAUCUAGAGUAUGGGAGAGGUAGAUGGAAUUUCUGGUGUAGGGGUAAAAUCCGUAGAGAUCAGAAGGAAUACCGAUUGCGAAGGCGAUCUACUGGAACAUUACUGACGCUGAGACGCGAAAGCGUGGGGAGCAAACAGGAUUAGAUACCCUGGUAGUCCACGCCCUAAACGAUGUACACUAGUUGUUGUGAGGCUUGACCUUGCAGUAAUGCAGUUAACACAUUAAGUGU